rnacentral:rRNA from 1 species
CCUACGGGAGGCAGCAGUGGGGAAUAUUGGACAAUGGGGGGAACCCUGAUCCAGCCAUGCCGCAUGUGUGAAGAAGGCCUUUUGGUUGUAAAGCACUUUAAGCGAGGAGGAGGCGCUCUUAGUUAAUACCUAAGAUGCGUGGACGUUACUCGCAGAAUAAGCACCGGCUAACUCUGUGCCAGCAGCCGCGGUAAUACAGAGGGUGCGAGCGUUAAUCGGAUUUACUGGGCGUAAAGCGCGCGUAGGUGGCUAAUUAAGUCAAAUGUGAAAUCCCCGAGCUUAACUUGGGAAUUGCAUUCGAUACUGGUUAGCUAGAGUAUGGGAGAGGAUGGUAGAAUUCCAGGUGUAGCGGUGAAAUGCGUAGAGAUCUGGAGGAAUACCGAUGGCGAAGGCAGCCAUCUGGCCUAAUACUGACACUGAGGUGCGAAAGCAUGGGGAGCAAACAGGAUUAGAUACCCUGGUAGUCCAUGCGUAACGAUGUCUACUACGUCGUCGGGUCGUUGUGGUCGUUAGUUGGCGCGAGCGUACGACGAGUAAGUAGACCGCCGUCGGGUAGGUACGGUCGCGACGACGUAAACGUACGAAGAAGUAGAGGCGNGAGAGNGCGACGGACGACGACGAGGGAGGUAGG